GAUGAACGCUGGCGGCGUGCCUAAUACAUGCAAGUCGAACGAACCUUUCGGGGUUAGUGGCGGACGGGUGAGUAACACGUGGGAACGUGCCUUUAGGUUCGGAAUAACUCAGGGAAACUUGUGCUAAUACCGAAUGUGCCCUUCGGGGGAAAGAUUUAUCGCCUUUAGAGCGGCCCGCGUCUGAUUAGCUAGUUGGUUGAGGUAAUGGCUCACCAAGGCGACGAUCAGUAGCUGGUCUGAGAGGAUGAUCAGCCACAUUGGGACUGAGACACGGCCCAAACUCCUACGGGAGGCAGCAGUGGGGAAUCUUGCGCAAUGGGCGAAAGCCUGACGCAGCCAUGCCGCGUGAAUGAUGAAGGUCUUAGGAUUGUAAAAUUCUUUCACCGGGGACGAUAAUGACGGUACCCGGAGAAGAAGCCCCGGCUAACUUCGUG
rnacentral:rRNA from 1 species